CUCCUUCCAGCAGUUGUACACUUUCUUUUUUUUUCACCUAAUCUCCAGUAGAAGAUCUCUGGUCAGCCUUGCCGGCCUCCUGCCCCACCUGCCUGACUUCUGAUAUUUUGGAAUUGGCUGAUCUUGUGCUUUUAGGAGGCAGCAAGUUCAGCCUAAGUUCA